GCCUGAGUGACGCAGUGGUUUUUAGCGUGUCGUUCUUAUACCGUUUCCCUCCUUUCCGGGAGGGAAGCAUGUAUGGUAGAAAUGCGAAAGUCGUGAGUUCGAUCCUCACCUUGGGCA